rnacentral:rRNA from 1 species
GGGAAUAUUGGGCAAUGGGCGAAAGCCUGACCCAGCGACGCCGCGUGGGUGAUGAAGGCCUUCGGGUUGUAAAACCCUUUCGUGCGGAAAGAAUAGUCCUGUAGCGAAUAACUACGGGAUUUGACGGUACCGCAGGAAGAAGCACCGGCUAACUCCGUGCCAGCAGCCGCGGUAAUACGGAGGGUGCAAGCGUUGUUCGGAAUUAUUGGGCGUAAAGGGCGCGUAGGUGGUUGUGAUAGUCAGAUGUGAAAUCCUUCGGCUCAACCGAAGAACUGCAUCUGAAACUUCAUAGCUCGAGUACAGGAGAGGGAAACGGAAUUCCCGGUGUAGAGGUGAAAUUCGUAGAUAUCGGGAGGAACACCAGUGGCGAAGGCGGUUUCCUGGCCUGAUACUGACGCUGAGGCGCGAAAGCGUGGGGAGCAAACAG